GGGUGGUACACCAACAAGGGCUGGGCAAGACCGGUGCCAGCCGCCGCGGUAAUACCGGCAGCCCGAGUGAUGGCCGAUAUUAUUGGGCCUAAAGCGUCCGUAGCUGGCUGCGCAAGUCCGUCGGGAAAUCCACUCGCCCAACGAGUGGGCGUCCGACGGAAACUGCACAGCUUGGGACCGGAAGGCUCGGAGGGUACGUCCGGGGUAGGAGUGAAAUCCCAUAAUCCCGCACGGACCACCGAUGGCGAAAGCACUUCGAGAAGACGGAUCCGACAGUGAGGGACGAAAGCCAGGGUCUCCAACCGGAUUAGAUACCCGGGUAGUCCUGGCCGUAAACAAUGUUCGCUAGGUAUGACACAGACUACGCGUCUCUGUUGUGCCGUAGGGAAGCCGAGAAGCGAACCGC
rnacentral:rRNA from 1 species